rnacentral:lncRNA from 1 species
CUCCUUCCUUUCCCACCAAGCCCCCGGUCCUGAGCGUGCGCGGUAAGUGGCCAUGGGUAGGCCAAAUCCUGCAAGUCUCUUUGCUGCCAGCAGCUGCUCCCACCACUCAACUAUGGCCGCUCCCUUAAAGGGACCAUGACGCAGGGAUGAAGGAGAAAUGAAAGAAAUUACUGGAAAGACAAUCUGGAGAAUUGGGUGCAAUGUCAGUGAAGGGUUCCACAUCACCAUCUUACACCUGACUACAGUGGUACCAUUGAAGAGGGAAAGUCAUGGUAAGCUGAAGUUCUCAGUGGACCUCUGAACAUGAAGAAUCCCAAACCAAUGAGGGAACAAGACAGUCAUCUCAAGGAAAACCAACUUUCCUCCCUUUCGACUGCCUGUUCUGAAGCACAAGGCAUAGAAUAUCAAGAGCCAACUCCUAUAACCUCACCUUAAAAUCAAAGCUUUUGGUGAUUUUGAAGAUUGAACCAACAACUGGAAAUAAUUUCUUCAAUAGUAAUUUAUCCUUAGAACAUCAAAAUGGAGAAGGAUCUUAGGGAACCAUUUACUCCAGUGCUCCCAAUGAUAAAAUUGCAGCCUGAUCAUGGGAAGGAAUUUGUCCCAAUGUAACUAAUGGCUGGUGUGGAGUUGGAAUCAAGAUUACAGUCUCAGUCCUCCAGGCUGUCUUCAGGCGAGAGAUAAAUUUGGUUUAAUUUGAUAUCCCUAGAAGAUUAAAAAUUGAAGUUUCAUGGUAUUUGGAGAAUAUCAUAAUUCUCUUGUGAAGAUGUAAUGAUUUGCAGAUGAUGGGUGUCCUCAUUCACCUCUAUUGAAGGAGCUUGACAAUCUGCCUUAAAGGAUAAGCAUCUUAUUUCUAAGCAGGAAACCAGGAAGUAGAUUUGGGUCUAUCUUGUUCCAAAACUGGGUCCUAAGCUGAAAAUCGCUGAAAAGAAUGAGGGCUUCAUUCAUUCCUCUUCUGUUCAUUCUAGUUCCCACAAGCUUUGGGUGCAGAAAAAAUUAAGUUUAUAAUGAUAGUUCAGGGACAGUGGGGAGACAUAUAGUAAGAAAUACAAAGAAGAUGCCUCCUGAAGGUCAUUUCCCAUGACAAGACAUAUUCAAGUGGGAAUGAUAACUCCUGAAGUCACAGGAUAAUGAGAUGUAACUUCUGUUUUCUGUUUUAUUUAGCACUUGGUAGCUAUUCUGAAACAGAUGUUUUCUAAUCUGUAAUAUUUUGCUGAAAACUUUUGGUGAAAUUGCUGGAAGUUUCCAUACUGGCCUUGCUUAUGCCUUUAGCACUGUCUUUAAUUUCA